rnacentral:pre_miRNA from 1 species
GGACUUGCGCCCCUCUCUGUCCCUGAGACCCUAACUUGUGACGUUUUGGUUUCAAGUCCACGGGUUAGGCUCUUGGGAGCUGUGAGUUGUGCCCCU